GUCCCUGUAGCGCAAUGGAUGGCCUGUUGGACUUCUAAUCCAUAGGUCGUGGAUUUGAAUCCCACCAGGGAUG